UACAGAGACCUCAAGCGUUAUCCGGAUUUAUUGGGCGUAAAGCGUGCGCAGACGGCUUUUUAAGUCUGCGGUUAAAUCCCAUAGCUCAACUGUGGGACUGCCGUGGAAACUGGAUAGCUCGAGUGCGGAAAAGGCUAGCGGAAUUGCCAGUGUAACGGUAAAAUGUGUUAAUAUUGGCAAGAACACCAGAUGCGAAAGCGGCUAGCUGGGACGCAACUGACGUUGUGGCACGAAAGCGUGGGGAG
rnacentral:rRNA from 1 species